rnacentral:rRNA from 1 species
AACGAACGCUGGCGGCAUGCCUAACACAUGCAAGUCGAACGAGACCUUCGGGUCUAGUGGCGCACGGGUGCGUAACGCGUGGGAACCUGCCCUUAGGUUCGGAAUAACUCCCCGAAAGGGGUGCUAAUACCGGAUAAUGUCUUCGGACCAAAGAUUUAUCGCCUUUGGAUGGGCCCGCGUUGGAUUAGCUAGUUGGUAGGGUAAAAGCCUACCAAGGCGACGAUCCAUAGCUGGUCUGAGAGGAUGAUCAGCCACACUGGGACUGAGACACGGCCCAGACUCCUACGGGAGGCAGCAGGGGGGAAUAUUGGACAAGGGGCGAAAGCCUGAUCCAGCAAUGCCGCGUGAGUGAUGAAGGCCUUAGGGUUGUAAAGCUCUUUUACCCGGGAUGAUAAUGACAGUACCGGGAGAAUAAGCUCCGGCUAACUCCGUG